CCGGGCUCGCGGAGGGCGGGGGUCCUGGGCGCGGGCCGCCGCGGCUCUUUGCCUGGAGGCUUCCUCUGACCCCUCUAGCGCGCCGCGUAUUCCUGCUUUCAGGCUUCUGGAUGGCGUCCUGCAGGAUGUUAAUUCGGUCUGUCCUUUUUAUUAUGAAAACAUUUGAACGUACAGAGAAGUGGGAACAUUUCUGCCAUGAACACCAACACGUAUUCUACAUUUGUUAGCAUUUUGCUGUAUUUUCUAAACUACACCUGUCCUAACGUCAAUUUUAGUAUUUGUGCUGCCCAAUUGAGCUCUGCCCUUCUACAUCAAACCACCUUAUUUUUUUCUAAUGCAGAUCUUAAGACAGGAGUCCCCCCCCCUUAUGGGGGACGGGAGACAGACACGUGGUCCCAGACCCCUAGGGGCACCUCCGAAACCGGAGAGUAGCAAGCCCUGUGGUGUUUUUCUUGUAUGUCCAUACCUAUGAUAAAGUUUAUGAUAUGGACACAGUAAGAGAUUAACGGGAUAGUAAGACGAUAAUAUACUGUAAUAAAAGUUCUAUAAGGGGCGCCUGGGUGGCUCAGUCAGCCUGCUACUCUCGAUUCUGCUCAGGUUGUCAGAUGGGGACCCCGGAUCAGGUCCACCUGGGAAUGGAGCCUGCUUAAAUUCUCCCACUCUGCCCCUAAACCCCCUCCUUCACUUGCUCACUUAAAAAAAAAUCUGUGGGAAAAAAAAAAUUGUGAAUGUGGCCUUUAUCUUUCAAAAUCUACCCAACAUUUUUAUGAGGGUGUAAGGUGAGAAAAUGCCUACCUGAUGAGGUGAAUGCCUGGGCAAUGUGACACAGCCUUAGGGCUAUUGUCCUGACACCUCAGAAGGAUCCCUUGUUUCUGGGACCCUGCUUGGCCACAGGUGACCUCAGGUCACUGAAAUGGAGGAAAGUGAAAUGGUAGAUGAAAGGAUUAAGUUACACACUUAACUCUGGGCACGCUUGGCUGGGGUUGUGUUGGAUGUCAAUAUUCAUUUAUGGAUUUUCUUAAGGCAAGAUUUCCAUGUGGUAACUUGUAAAUCUUAAAUUCGUUGAAUUUCGUAAGUGUAUACUCUUACACUCUUGUAACUUAUUCUAUCAGCAGCUAUAAAAUCGUAAUUAAUACAUGUACAUCAUCACUAAAAAUCACUUUAUUCCCCUCCCUCCACCUCCCCAUCACCCAUUGUUUUUCUCACCAUCUACUGCAAUUUGACCCUCACAUUUAUUCCUUUUCUCCCUUUCUGUGACUUUGAGUGAAUGCAGGAAACUGAUAGUUGAUUUAAUACAUAGGUAAGUUCUGAGGGUUAUUAACUUUAAAAAAAUGUAAACUGGGGUGCCUGGGUGGCUCAGUUAAUUAAGCAUCUGCCUUUGGCUGAGGUCAUGAUCCCAGGGUCCUUGCUCAGCAGGGAGCCUGCUUCUCCCGCUCCUGCCUGCAGCUCUGCUUGUGCUCUUGUCCAAUAAAUAAACCAAAUCUUUUUUUUUUUAAGUGAACUACUUUCCCACAAGUGUGUAUAGUCAAUAGAAUUCUUUUUUUUUUUUAAUUUUUUUUUUUCUAUUUAGUUAUGAUAGUCACAGAGAGAGAGAGGCAGAGACACAGGCAGAGGGAGAAGCAGGCUCCAUGCACCGGGAGCCUGACGUGGGAUUCGAUCCCGGGUCUCCAGGAUCGCGCCCUGGGCCAAAGGCAGGCGCCAAACCGCUGCGCCACCCAGGGAUCCCCUAGUCAAUAGAAUUCUGAUUGAAAUCAAAGCUUCCCACCUACCAGAUGAUUUUUUUCACCUAUAUUUUCUGGAUGAUGAACAGAUAGUAAAAGCUACCAUUUUUUGGAAACUGUGUGCCCAGCAUUGUGCCAGGCACUUACAUACACGGUUUAUAAUUCUUAUACCCAGGUGAUCUAUAAGAUGGAAUAAUAUACAAUUCAUAUACAUGGGACAAAUCCUAACUGAGGGAGAGUCUACAACUCCAUGAGAUGGAUGGGUUUUCUUCCCCCGCUCUCCCAUUUUAUAAAUGACAAAGCUUAGGCCCAGAGAAACCAAAGAACUUGCCAGAUUUCUCUAAUCUAGAAAAUUGCUAAAUUAGAAUUUUGAGCCCUUGAUUCCUAAAUGCCCAAGGCCUGUUGUCUUCAGGACUUACAGGAUGGGGAAUAUAGGAAUGGGAGUAGAAAAGCCUACCGGGAUCAUUAGCUAAGGUACAUGUUAUGUAAAAUGAAAGGAAGUAAAUGUUAAGUGAAUCUUCCUUGGAGGAAGAAAUAAAAGUACUUGGGAAAAAAUCCUGUUAAGGGUGAUUUUCUAUAUUUUCCAGCAUAUGGUGGCUCAGGUUCUGAAGGUUUAUUUGCUUUUUUCUGCAGGCGAGGGUGUGUGGGUGAGAUAAAGUAGUUUCAGGUGGAGAGGUGAGGCAACGUGUCAGUACUGAAUGUUCAUCUUUUCUCAACCAGGGUUCCCAUAGGAAACAAUUUGAGUGACUAUUUUUAUCAUUUCUGAGGGUACAACAGAGCUAGUACCAUUCUAGGUAUAGGAGUUAAGUUAUUACAUAUAAUGGAAACCUUGGGGCAUUUGAACUUGAUUUGGGUCUGACAGCUAGUAACUCAGUUUUAGUUUUUUUUGUUUGGGGUUUUUUUAAUUUUUUUUAAAUUUUUAUUUAUUUUUAUGAUAGUCACACACAGAGAGAAAGAGGCAGAGACACAGGCAGAGGGAGAAGCAGGCUCCAUGCACCAGGAGCCCGAUGUGGGAUUCGAUCCCGGGUCUCCAGAAUCGCGCCCUGGGCCAAAGGCAGGCGCCAAACCGCUGCGCCACCCAGGGAUCCCUGUUUGGGGUUUUUUUUUUGCCAUGAUAGUUCCUGCUUUAAAGGCUUAUUUUUCCUUUACAGCUAAUUAUCAGUUGGGCUGCUUUUGGCUACAAAUUACAGAAGACUUGACUUAAAAUGGCUUAAACAGGCAGCCAGGAGGGCCUGGGGAAAUCCCACACGUCCCACCUGCCUGGGGGAUUGUUGAGGGCCAUCAGCUUGUGCUUCCCGCUCAGUUUGCCUUCUACUCCUUCAUCAUUUAUCGAGAAGGAACAUCUUUCUCUUCUGUCUCAUUGGCCAGAAUUGAGAUGUAUGCCCAGGACCUAGCUGAAAAAGUGGCUGGGAAAAAUGUUCUUUUUCAGCUUCUGUCUUGGAAUACAGGCUCUGCCAGUUGGGAUGAAAGUGGGAUAAAAGGCUGCUGCAUAGGUGGCCAUCAGUGCCAGCCGCGGUGACGUUUAUUAGCAAUUACAGACCGUCCUACAGCCUACACCCUCUCAUAUUGCAUACUGACAUCUCCAAAUUGCUUUGAUGAGCUUGGGCUUGUCCAUCUUAGCUCAUGAUUGAGAGAUUGGAGCUCUGGUAUUUUGCACUACCUGUCUGAUCAAGAGUUCUGCUUUAGCAGUGUCCUCAUCAGAUGAAUGGCACUGUGGAGUUGUCAGGUUUUUUUUUGUUGUUGUUGGUUUUUUUUUAAAUUUUUAUUUAUUUAUUUAUGAUAGUCACAGAGAGAGAGGGGGGAAGAGACACAAGCAGGCUCCAUGCACCGGGAGCCCGACGUGGGACUCUAUCCCGGGUCUCCAGGAUCGCGCCCUGGGCCAAAGGCAGACGCCAAACCGCUGCACCACCCAGGGAUCCCGUUGUCAGGAGACAAGUCAAAACUCCACCAUGAUGCUGAACAUUAAAAUUCUUCCCACGGCAACUUGUCAACAUAAUCGACAAGUCAGUUUUCUUAGUAACUGCCCAAGGCACGUGGUGAGAAGGAUGUCAGCUAAAUUCUAAAUAAAAAAUAGGAGGGGCAAGAUGGCGGAAGAGCAGGGUCCCCAAAUCACCUGUCCCCACCAAAUUACCUAGAUAACCUUCAAACCAUCCUGAAAAUUUACGAAUUCGGCCUGAGAUGUAAAGAGAGACCAGCUGGAAUGCUACAGUGAGAAAAGUCCGCGCUUCUAUCAAGGUAGGAAGACGGGGAAAAAGAAAUAAAGGAACAAAAGGCCUCCGAGGGGGAGGGGCCCCGCGAGGAGCCAGGCUGAGGCCGGGGCGAGUGUCCCCAGGACAGGAGAGCCCCGUCCCAGAGAAGCAGGAGCUGCACCAACCUUCCCGGGCGGAAAGGGGCCCGCAGGGAGUUAGAGCAGGACCCAGGAGGGCGGGGAUGCCUUCUCUCUCUUUUUCUCCUUUUCCCAAUACAACUUGUUUUUGGCCACUCUGCACUGAGCAAAAUGACUGGAAGGAAAACCUCACUUCAAAAGAAAGAAUCAGAAACAGCCCUCUCUCCCACAGAGUUACAAAAUCUGGAUUACACUUCAAUGUCAGAAAGCCAAUUCAGAAGCACUAUUCUACAGCUACUGGUGGCUCUAGAAAAAAGCAUUAAGGACUCACGAGACUUCAUGACUGCAGAAUUUAGAUCCAAUCAGGCAGAAAUUAAAAAUCAAUUGAAUGAGAUGCAAUCCAAACUAGAAGUCCUAACGACGAGGGUUAACGAGGUGGAAGAACGAGUGAGUGACAUAGAAGACAAGUUAAUGGCAAAGAGGGAAACUGAGGAAAAAAGAGAUAAACAAUUAAAGAACCAUGAAGACAGAUUAAGGCAAAUAAAUGACACUCUAAGAAAGAAAAACCUACGUUUAAUUGGGGUUCCCGAGGGCGCCGAAAGGGACAGAGGGCCAGAAUAUGUAUUUGAACAAAUCCUAGCUGAAAACUUUCCCAAUCUGGGAAGGGAAACAGGCAUUCAGAUCCAGGAAAUAGAGAGAUCCCCCCCUAAAAUCAAUAAAAACCGUUCAACACCUCGACAUCUAAUAGUGAAGCUUGCAAAUUCCAAAGAUAAAGAGAAGAUCCUUAAAGCAGCAAGAGACAAGAAGUCCCUGACUUUCAUGGGGAGGAAUAUUAGGGUAACAGCAGACCUCUCCACAGAGACCUGGCAGGCCAGAAAGGGCUGGCAGGAUAUAUUCAGGGUCCUAAAUGAGAAGAGCAUGCAACCAAGAAUACUUUAUCCAGCAAGGCUCUCAUUCAAAAUGGAAGGAGAGAUAAAGAGCUUCCAAGACAGGCAGGAACUGAAAGAAUAUGUGACCUCCAAACCAGCUCUGCAAGAAAUUUUAAGGGGGACUCUUAAAACUCCCCUUUAAGAAGAAGUUCAAGUAACUCUGAACAUGAAUGGGCUUAAUGACCCCAUCAAAAGGCGCAGAGUUUCAGACUGGAUAAAAAAACAGGACCCAUCUAUUUGCUGUCUACAAGAGACUCAUUUUAGACAGAAGGACACCUACAACCUGAAAAUAAAAGGUUGGAGAACCAUUUACCAUUCAAAUGGUUCUCAAAAUAUACCCUAAAAACUACAGAACACUUCUGAAAGAAAUUGAGGAAGACACAAAGAGUUGGAAAAAUAUUCCAUGCUCAUGGAUUGGCAGAAUUAAUAUUGUGAAAAUGUCAAUGUUACCCAGGGCAAUUUACACGUA